rnacentral:rRNA from 1 species
GCAGUAGCCACGGUAACACGAAGGGGGCUAGCGUUGUUCGGAAUUACUGGGCGUAAAGCGCACGUAGGCGGAUAUUUAAGUCAGGGGUGAAAUCCCAGGGCUCAACUCCGGAACUGCCUUUAAUACUGGGUAUCGUGAGUUCGAGAGAGGUAAGUGGAAUUCCGAGUGUAGAGGUGAAAUUCGUAGAUAUUCGGAGGAACACCAGUGGCGAAGGCGGCUUACUGGCUCGAUACUGACGCUGAGGUGCGAAAGCGUGGGGAGCAAACAGGAUUAGAUACCCCUGUAGUCCCUGUCUCUUAUAC